GACGAACGCUGGCGGCGUGCUUAACACAUGCAAGUCGAACGGUGAAGCUCCAGCUUGCUGGAGUGGAUCAGUGGCGAACGGGUGAGUAACACGUGAGCAACCUGCCCCUGACUCUGGAAUAAGCGCUGGAAACGGCGUCUAAUACUGGAUACGAGAAGGGUCCGCAUGGGCACUUUCUGGAAAGUUUUUCGGUUGGGGAUGGGCUCGCGGCCUAUCAGCUUGUCGGUGAGGUAAUGGCUCACCAAGGCGACGACGGGUAGCCGGCCUGAGAGGGCGACCGGCCACACUGGGACUGAGACACGGCCCAGACUCCUACGGGAGGCAGCAGUGGGGAAUAUUGCACAAUGGGCGAAAGCCUGAUGCAGCGACGCCGCGUGAGGGAUGACGGCCUUCGGGUUGUAAACCUCUUUCAGCAGGGAAGAAGCGAAAGUGACGGUACCUGCAGAAGAAGCACCGGCUAACUACGUG
rnacentral:rRNA from 1 species